rnacentral:rRNA from 1 species
AAUGGGGGCAACCCUGAUCCAGCCAUGCCGCGUGAGUGAAGAAGGCCUUCGGGUUGUAAAGCUCUUUCGGCCGGGAAGAAAUCGCAUCAGCUAAUACCUGGUGUGGAUGACGGUACCGGAAUAAGAAGCACCGGCUAACUACGUGCCAGCAGCCGCGGUAAUACGUAGGGUGCGAGCGUUAAUCGGAAUUACUGGGCGUAAAGCGUGCGCAGGCGGUUUUUUAAGAUAGGCGUGAAAUCCCCGGGCUCAACCUGGGAACUGCGCUUAUGACUGGAAGACUAGAGUAUGGCAGAGGGGGGUGGAAUUCCACGUGUAGCAGUGAAAUGCGUAGAGAUGUGGAGGAACACCGAUGGCGAAGGCAGCCCCCUGGGCCAAUACUGACGCUCAUGCACGAAAGCGUGGGGAGCAAA